rnacentral:rRNA from 1 species
GACGAACGCUGGCGGCGUGCUUAACACAUGCAAGUCGAGCGGAAAGGCCCUUUCGGGGGUACUCGAGCGGCGAACGGGUGAGUAACACGUGAGUAAUCUGCCCUGCGCUCUGGGAUAGCCACCGGAAACGGUGAUUAAUACCGGAUAGGACCACUUCACGCAUGUGAUGGUGGUGGAAAGUUUUUUCGGCGCAGGAUGUGCUCGCGGCCUAUCAGCUUGUUGGUGAGGUAACGGCUCACCAAGGCUUUGACGGGUAACCGGCCUGAGAGGGUGACCGGUCACACUGGGACUGAGACACGGCCCAGACUCCUACGGGAGGCAGCAGUGGGGAAUAUUGGACAAUGGGCGGAAGCCUGAUCCAGCAACGCCGCGUGAGGGAUGACGGCCUUCGGGUUGUAAACCUCUUUCAGUACCGACGAAGCGAAAGUGACGGUAGGUACAGAAGAGGGACCGGCCAACUACGUGCCAGCAGCCGCGGUAAUACGUAGGGUCCGAGCGUUGUCCGGAAUUAUUGGGCGUAAAGGGCUCGUAGGCGGUUUGUCGCGUCGGGAGUGAAAACACCGGGCUUAACUCGGUGCUUGCUUUCGAUACGGGCAGACUAGAGGUAUGCAGGGGAGAAUGGAAUUCCUGGUGUAGCGGUGAAAUGCGCAGAUAUCAGGAGGAACACCGGUGGCGAAGGCGGUUCUCUGGGCAUUACCUGACGCUGAGGAGCGAAAGU